rnacentral:rRNA from 1 species
ACAAGCAGCGGAGCGUGUGGUUUAAUUCGUUGCUACACGAAGAACCUUACUGGGUUUGACAUAUAGGUUGUAGGGAACUGAAAAGGGACCGACCUUCGGGGAGCCUAUACAGGUGUUGCAUGGCUGUCGUCAGCUCGUGUCGUGAGAUGUUCGGUUAAGUCCGCUAACGAGCGCAACCCUCGUCGUAUGUUAUAUGUGUCAUACGAGACUGCCGGUAAAAGCCGGAGGAAGGUGAGGAUGAUGUCAAGUCAGCAUGACCUUUAUAUCCAGGGCUACACACACGCUACAAUGGUCUGUACAAUGGGUAGCCAAGCCGCGAGGCGGAGCCAAUCCUGAAAGCAGGCCUCAGUUCAGAUUGCAGUCUGCAACUCGACUGCAUGAAGCCGGAGUUGCUAGUAACCGCAGGUCAGCAAUACUGCGGUGAAUACGUUCCCGGGCCUU